CUUGUAUUUUGACAAGAAGGAUCUGUUUAAAUCUUUGUCAAAGUUGCAUUGCAUACAAUUUAAACCCAAAAAAAGGGGGAAAAAAUACAUGCUCUUGGCUUUUUAAAAGGCAAUGUUCUUGUUUUAUCUUUCAGCCCAAGAACUUGCCAGUCAAGAUGAAAAACUUCUUCUAAUGGAAUCCAGCUUGAAAGCUACUCCAGAGUAGCUAACUGAGCAAAGAGCAGAAACAGUUCGCCAAGAACAGAACAGUAGAAAACCCCAGGCAGAGCUGAAGACAGUGACAGAAAGGAUUAUUGCCUCCGAAGAAGAAAAAAAUGAUUGCAAGUUCCCAUAGGUGUCAUCCUUAUGCCAUUCUCUCUUUGGAAAGCUUCUAAAUUCAUCAUCAUGUUCAUCACAUGGGUAGCAUUAUGUCUUGGGAUGUUCUGACAAGACAGACAAUUUUGGAGAAGGUGUGCUGGACACAGUUGUGGUUCUCAACAAUUGGAUGCAUCUGCUUCCUAUUCGGAACGUGGUUCUACUUACAAUCUAAUUGUGCUACCCUACACUGCUCUAUUAUUUUCUGACUCUGAGCCUACAUUUUAGGCCAAUCAUCGAAGAGGACAGGAAGACUUGGAAAUUGAAGGCUACACGUAGACAUACUCGUCUGGUUUCAUAUGUAUAUAUGUCUGUGGAGCUGCUCCAUAUUGUGUAAGCAUGCCGUCCUAUUCUUUAGGCUUGUCCUCACAAUUUCCUGGGAUAGGUCAGAAUUAUUGUCUCCAUAUGAGGUGUGAUAUGUGUCAUCUAAUGAUAAAUGGUUGAAUGAUUUAAGUACUUAUUUUGGCUUCAAACUGACUUUGCUCCUUUCACUGGGUCUCGGGCUAUAUAGUUAGGAUAUUUUGUCCAGAUGUAUAGAUGGAGACUUUAAAGAAAACAAAAAAAUCAUUCAGACGCUACUAAGCUUAACUACUAAAAUAUCACUGUGAGUAGUGAUUAAAUGUGUAUCCACGAAGUACUAUAGUGAAUGAGAUAACAAUGUAAAGCAACUAUUACAUAUGUAAAAGCUAAAUUCAAGUUCAGAUCUCAUCUUUUCCACAUUGACUGAGUAUAUGUAAGUUUUGUUGUAAUGUCAUCCCAUUCCCUAGAAAACCAUCAAUUUAGUAACAUACACAUGUAUAUAUGCCAUCGUCACUUGGAGUUAGGUGUACCUGGACUCUUGGAAGCAGCUGUAUAUUUAAGUUUGAUGCAUACAGCUGAAGUCUUUUGAGUUUCUUAUUCUUCUCUCUAGAGAUCAGAUUGUUAAUUAGGAACUUACCUAAUCACUUCUGCUUAGCAUAGGAAAACCUUACUGCAAAGGCUAGGACAAAAGAUGGCUCCUACCUCACAACUAAAUUAAUGCGUAUUCAUCUUAAGGUGUAAAGCAUAAAAGCCAAGAUUAUAAAAAUUUAAAAAAUAUAUUUUAAAUAUCCACUAGAAAAUACUCAAGUUCAAGAUAAACUUGUUGGCUUGUGGAUCAUAGAGAAAGAUGUAGAAUCUGAAAUGAAACAAGUUAUGGUUUUCUAUGUCCUGAAAUGCAGGGCCAAGAACAUCUUAUCAGGCUUAAUGUAAUUUGCAAUAACAUUGGUUUCUGGAAGAACCAAAAACUUUAUGCAGUAAAUUAUAAUAUUUUUAAUUGGGAGGAAUAUUAAUGUAGAAGUAAAACAAAAUUCUAAGUUGAUAUCAACAGAAUAAUUUAUAUUAUCUUUUCUAUACAUCUUUGAAAUUACUGAUACAUUUGUAAGUCAGAGAUAGACCUAAUUCAGGGAAUCUUACAUUAAUUUCUGGGAUCAAAGAGUGUCUUGAAGAUUAAGCAAGCAGAAUAUUAUGCCAAUAUCUUCUUCUAAUACAGGUGGCUAUCAAAUUAAAGAUUUGUUUUAUGUUGGUUUCUAUUUAUUUUAUUUUGCUUAUAAUUCCUAUAUAAAUGUAAAUAUACCAAAAUACAUUUAAAGCCCUAUCUAAAACCAGUAACUUUUUCUGAAUUUAAAAACACAGUUAUAAUGAUUAGUUAUAAAAAUAAUAUUUAUUGUCAACAAUCGCAUACUAAGUAGUUCAGCAAAUUCUUAUUUCUAGAACAAAACAAUCACUCACUACUUUUUCUUACAUUGUCCUGAGAUUCUGCUUUAAAGUGUCCCACAAGCACCCAGGCUUAAAGAGCAACCAACGUCUGUAGGAUUUUUUGACAGGCUAUAUACUUCCUUAAGUCAUAGAUCUCAUCUAUGGAAUAAAAUGGUUCGACUAGAUCACUUCUAACAUCAGACCCCUGAGGCAUGAUCUGGCUCUAGGUCCAUUAAGGGACUCUCUUUCCUGUGAUUAAUGCAUAUAUUCAUACUCUGUUGUUAUUUUUUAUCCAGUAGAAAAUUUUAUUUGGUAUCCAAACACCAAAUUUCAUUUGGAAAUGAUAAUGUGUGUAUGCAUGUAAGUGUGUGCAUAUGAUCAAACAAAACCAUAUAAAUGUCCCCCUGGAAGAUCAAGAUUAAAAUGAAUCUCAUCUAUUGCAAACUUCCAACACAGAAUCCAGUAUUUCCUCACUCUUGCACUUCUACUCUGGACAGCAAUACCUAUGAAGGCUGGACAGAUCUCAUUUAUUAAUUAUUCAUCUCUAGCUCACAUCUCAAACUUCACCCACAUACUCUUUAUCGUUUCCCAUAACACUUCCUAAAACCUACUAUUAGUCUUUGAAAUAUCUAUUAAAGGUCAUCAGUUUCCAAAGUAAUUGUGAUUUAAUUUCCCCUAUUUUUUAAAAACAUAUUUUUUCAUUGAUUUCAGAGAGGAAGGGAGAGGGAGAGAGAGAUGGAAAUAUCAAUGAUGAGAGAGAAUCAUUGAUUGGCCGCUUCCUGCGUCCUCCCUACUGAGGAUCAAGCCGGCAACCAGGCAUGUGUUCUGUCUGUGAAUUGAACUGUGACCUCCUGGUUCAUAGGUUGAUGCUCAACCACGGGGUCACAUAGGCCUGGGUAACCCUCCCUAUUAAUAAACUCACACUGAUGUAUUAAAAUAGAUUUCUGGCAUCAUAAUUGGGCAACUGUUUAAUACCAAACAUUGACCUCCAUUUUAUAUUCCCUGUAAUGAUAAUACCCUGGCAUAUUGACGUUUUAUUCUGAAUUUUCUAUGCUAAAAUAUGAGAUUCCAAAGUGACUGAAAUGGUUUUCGUCAAGCACCUCCUGCCACAUGAGGGAAAUGGGAUAUGAACUGCUGCAUAAUUGAGUCUUGUGUGGCUUUUCUAGUCUGCCACACAAUUCUGGAGUUAUAUUAAAGAAGAAUAUGAUUUUGAUCUUGAGCAAAGUACCCCAGAAUUCCUGAGUCUAUCCUUGGUAUAUCCACUCUGACCUUCAGAAUUAUACAAAUGAAAUAAACUAAGCCUUAUUAUUAUCUAGGAAACCCAAACUGUGAUGUGUCCUUAAGCUGGAUAUGUUGUUAAGGGAACACACUUUUCUUUUCAAAGCUAGAAGUCUAAAUAAUAUUGCUCCUACGUGAAACCUGAACCCACAAUGGGCCCCUCCAAUGAGAGAACAGCCUAUCUGCCGGUGUCAUAAGGAAUGGAAACAAAGGACAAACAUCGGGUUUGCUCUUAGGCCUCAUCCUGCCAGCACCUGCCACAAGGACUUGCAGGCUAGGAUUGUUGCUCCUCAUCCCCCUGUUGUGUGAAAAAGUCACAGUUCUUCACGUGGCAAGGAAAAGCAGACAGACGCUCCUCUUGCCCUGCUGCCGGGGCUGUGGCGGACAAGAAAGAAGUUGGUGCUUCCCAGCACGGAGUUCUCACUCACUCUGAAAACUCAUCUCCUACCAACUACCAUCAGUUUCCUCCAACUUCCUUAAUUCCUGUAAUUCCUUUCGUCCUUGGAAGGUGACAGUCCCUGCAUAGUUGAUGCUGACCAAUUCCUAGACUUGGUUGUAGGGGUUUGUGGCAGGUGGAAGGAAAACAGGGGAAUGUGAGAAAUCUUGCACUUACCCUGGUGGUGAAAAGUAUUGAUUUAUAAUUUUAAAGUGAAAAAGUCUCAGUAGUUUUGAUUUGUUUUAUUAAAUGGCAGAUGAUGUACUUAUGAAAAUACUGUAUUGGUGGACUUAAAAGGCUAUGAUGUUGAAUGGAAUUUUCAUUUGCUAGUUUUAAAUAGGACUUUACCUAGUAUACUAAAAAUAUAAUUCACUCAUAAAUAUAACAAACCUAUCAAUAAAUGUUAUUAGUAAGUUAAGACAAACGUAUAAAAUAUAGAGAGACUUUUACUUCCUAAUUAGAUAUGAAAAUGUUAAAGGCCAUCUAAUUAACUUUGAAACUUGUUUCUAGAAUGUUAAGAAUAAUUGAAGAUUAAAUUGAAUAGUUUGACUAUUUUUAUCUUGUAAAAGUGAAUGAAUAUUGAUUUUCUUUAGAAAUAAGUGGAAGAGGUUUUAUUUUUGAGAAGAAAGGUAGAUUUGCUUUUUUCUUGUGGUAAAAGUCACAAAACCCAAAAUGUACCUCAUAACAAAUAUUUGAGUGCAUAAUACAGUAUAAUGAACUAUAUGCACACUGUUGAACAUCGGAUCUUCAAUCUGUUAUAUAGGCUCUUCAUUUCUAAAUUCUUUUGUUGAAAGUUCAUGUAGCCUUAGGAUUCUUUCACAUUCUUCACAUUUGUUCUUUGUAUUCACCACCGUAAUGUGGCUAAGACCUGGUACCAGGCCCCUGUGCUUGCAUUCCAAGGCUCUCAUUACUGCUGGGUAACUUGUAUUCCAGUAUUAAACGAAGACAGUGAUUGUGUUGACUCCAUAGGAUUUUAAUGAAGAUCAAAUAGGAUAAUGUGUGCAAAGUUAUAGACAAGAACUUAUAAAUAAUAAAUAGGAGAUAUCUUA